AAGUCGAACGGCAGCAUGAUCUAGCUUGCUAGAUUGAUGGCGAGUGGCGAACGGGUGAGUAAUACAUCGGAACGUGCCCUGUAGUGGGGGAUAACUAGUCGAAAGAUUAGCUAAUACCGCAUACGACCUGAGGGUGAAAGUGGGGGACCGCAAGGCCUCAUGCUAUAGGAGCGGCCGAUGUCUGAUUAGCUAGUUGGUGGGGUAAAGGCCCACCAAGGCGACGAUCAGUAGCUGGUCUGAGAGGACGAUCAGCCACACUGGGACUGAGACACGGCCCAGACUCCUACGGGAGGCAGCAGUGGGGAAUUUUGGACAAUGGGCGAAAGCCUGAUCCAGCAAUGCCGCGUGUGUGGAGAAGGCCUUCGGGUUGUAAAGCACUUUUGUCCGGAAAGAAAUGGCUCUGGUUAAUACCUGGGGUCGAUGACGGUACCGGAAGAAUAAGGACCGGCUAACUACGUGCCAGCAGCCGCGGUAAUACGUAGGGUCCAAGCGUUAAUCGGAAUUACUGGGCGUAAAGCGUGCGCAGGCGGUUGUGCAAGAACGAUGUGAAAUCCCCGAGCUUAACUUGGGAAUUGCAUUGGUGACUGCACGGCUAGAGUGUGUCAGAGGGGGGUAGAAUCCACGUGUAGCAGUGAAAUGCGUAGAGAUGUGGAGGAAUACCGAUGGCGAAGGCAGCCCCGCUGGGAUAACACUGACGCUCAUGCACGAAAGCGUGGGGAGCAAACAGGA
rnacentral:rRNA from 1 species